GAUGAAGAACGUAGCGAAAUGCGAUAAGUAGUGUGAAUUGCAGAAUUCAGUGAAUCAUCGAAUCUUUGAACGCACAUUGCGCCCCUUGGUAUUCCAUGGGGCAUGCCUGUUCGAGCGUCAUUUGUACCUUCAAGCUCUGCUUGGUGUUGGGUGUUUGUCUCGCCUAUGCGUGUAGACUCGCCUCAAAACAAUUGGCAGCCGGCGUAUUGAUUUCGGAGCGCAGUACAUCUCGCGCUUUGCACUCAUAACGACGACGUCCAAAAGUACAUUUUUACACUCUUGACCUCGGAUCAGGUAGGGAUACCCGCUGAACUUAAGCAUAUCAAUAAGCGGAGGA
rnacentral:misc_RNA from 1 species